GAUGAACGCUGGCGGCGUGCUUAACACAUGCAAGUCGAGCGAAGCGCCUUGAAGUUUUCGGUACCAAGAGGUGACUGAGCGGCGGACGGGUGAGUAACGCGUGGGUAACCUGCCUCAUACAGGGGGAGUAACAGUUAGAAUGGCUGCUAAUACCGCAUAAGCGCACAGCAUCGCAUGAUGCCGUAGUGAAAAAACUCCGGUGGUAUGAGAUGGACCCCGCGUCUGAUUAGGUAGUUGGC
rnacentral:rRNA from 1 species